rnacentral:rRNA from 1 species
GACGUAGGGGGCGAGCGUUGUCCGGAAUUACUGGGCGUAAAGAGCACGUAGGCGGAUAAACAAGUCAGGUGUGAAAGGCCGCAGCUCAACUGCGGGAUUGCACAUGAAACUGUGUAUCUUGAGGGCAGGAGAGGAAAGUAGAAUUCCUGGUGUAGCGGUGAAAUGCGUAGAAAUCAGGAGGAAUACCAGUGGCGAAGGCGACUUUCUGGACUGACCCUGACGCUGAGGUGCGAAAGCGUGGGUAGCAAACAGGAUUAGAUACC